GACGAACGCUGGCGGCGUGCUUAACACAUGCAAGUCGAACGGGCCUGUCUUCUUUUUUGGGGGGUGGGUUGAGUGGCGAACGGGUGAGUAUCACGUGAGUAACCUGCCCUUCGGUCCUGGAUAACCGCUUGAAAGGGCGGCUAAUACGGGGUGGUCCGGUUGGUCCGCAUGGGCUGGUCGGGAUAGAUUCACUGUUUUUGGUGUUUCGGCGGGGGAUGGGCUCGCGGCCUAUCAGCUUGUUGGUGGGGUGAUGGCCUACCAAGGCGGUGACGGGUAGCCGGCCUGAGAGGGUGGGCGGCCACACUGGGACUGAGAUACGGCCCAGACUCCUGCGGGAGGCAGCAGUGGGGGGUAUUGCACAAUGGGCGGAAGCCUGAUGCAGCGACGUCGCGUGAGGGAGGGAGGCCUUCGGGUUGUGAACCUCUGUUUCCGGUGGUGAAGGCCCUGUCCGUGUGGUGGGGUUGACGGUAGCCGGGGAUGAAGCGCCGGCUAACUACGUG
rnacentral:rRNA from 1 species